AUUGAACGCUGGCGGCAGGCCUAACACACGCAAGUCGAGCGGAUGAAGAGAGCUUGCUCUCUGAUUUAGCGGCGGACGGGUGAGUAAUGCCUAGGAAUCUGCCUGGUAGUGGGGGAUAACGUUCCGAAAGGAACGCUAAUACCGCAUACGUCCUACGGGAGAAAGCAGGGGACCUUCGGGCCUUGCGCUAUCAGAUGAGCCUAGGUCGGAUUAGCUAGUUGGUGAGGUAAUGGCUCACCAAGGCUACGAUCCGUAACUGGUCUGAGAGGAUGAUCAGUCACACUGGAAUUGAGACACGGUCCAGACUCCUACGGGAGGCAGCAGUGGGGAAUAUUGGACAAUGGGCGAAAGCCUGAUCCAGCCAUGCCGCGUGUGUGAAGAAGGUCUUCGGAUUGUAAAGCACUUUAAGUUGGGAGGAAGGGCAGUAAGUUAAUACCUUGCUGUUUUGACGUUACCGACAGAAUAAGCACCGGCUAACUACGUGCCAGCCGCCGCAGUAAGAC
rnacentral:rRNA from 1 species